AUACGAAGGUGGCGAGCGUUGUUCGGAUUUACUGGGCGUAAAGAGCACGUAGGCGGUUUGGUAAGUCCCUUGGGAAAUCUCCGGGCUUAACCCGGAAAGGUCGAGGGAGACUGCCAAGCUAGAGGAUGGGAGAGGAGCGCGGAAUUCCCGGUGUAGCGGUGAAAUGCGUAGAUAUCGGGAAGAAGGCCGGUGGCGAAGGCGGCGCUCUGGAACAUAUCUGACGCUGAGGUGCGAAAGCGUGGGGAGCAAACAGCAUUAGAAACCCCAGUAGUCC
rnacentral:rRNA from 1 species